UGGAUCACCUCCUAACAGGGAGACAAUAACUGAUUGUGAUGUCUGAGUAAUUUAUUCUCAGGCCAUAAUCCUGUCAUCUCUAAGGUCGAUCGGUACCUCAACUUGAGAGUUCAAGAAGAGCUGAGAAAUCAGUUUGGAGAUGAACUACUUAAUUUCAGUUCCUAAACUUUGUCUAGGUCACCCCACAGCGGGUAAAGCCGAGAAUAUUGAUUUAAUAAUCAGUAUUUGAUCUGGCCAGCCGAAAGGCGAGCUAGGUUGCGGCGAGAGCUCCUGGGCCAUUAGCUCAGGUGGUUAGAGCGCACCCCUGAUAAGGGUGAGGUCCCUGGUUCAAGUCCAGGAUGGCCCAUUCGUGUUUGGGGGUUUAGCUCAGUUGGUAGAGCGCCUGCUUUGCAAGCAGGAUGUCAGCGGUUCGAGUCCGCUAACCUCCAUCCAAUGAUGUUGCUCCGCCCUCAACUUGUACUUGCAUAUUGUUGCGGUAAGGAGUUUUGCUGUGAGUGUGAUCUUGACCGUUGUUCGCUGAAGAUUUCAGCUUCUUUUCAUGCUUAAUAAGUUAGCCAAUUAAUUGGUUAAUAUGUUUAGUUGAAAGGACGCUGGAUUCAAUGAAGCCCUGGAGACAGGGCUGUUUGAAUGUCAGCAGAACCUUGACAACUGCAUAGGUAAAGUCUGGAAAUAAAGCAUCUCAUGGAUGCUUGAUUCUAGCUUAGUCAUUAUCCAGAGAUGGUUAAUGUAUUAAAUUAGUAUCAAGAAAAUUCUAUUGAGUUUUUAGAGCCGAGAGCUUCCAGUUUUCUUCUGAGCCCGCCGAGGGUUUGGGAGUUUGAUCCUGGUAUUCAAACCACAGGAUUUAACUGAAGAGAUUCAGGUAAUGAAAGUAGGUGAAUCUAGAGAGAAUAGGCCUCAACAGCCUGAAGGAUUGGAAGUUGAAAUUGGUCAAGCUACAAAGGGCUCACGGUGGAUACCUUGGCACACAGA
rnacentral:tRNA from 1 species